GUAGGUGAACCUGCGGAAGGAUCAUUAAACCUUAUACUUCGGGGGGCCGGCGUUGAAUAGCAGUUCCAUCGCGGAUCAGCUGUUCUCCCCGCCCUGUCGGAACAUUACCCAUGCUUUUUGCGUACCCAUUGUUUCCUCGGCAGGCUUGCCUGCCAGCAGGACCUUUUUAAAACCCUUUGCAAUUGCAGUCAGCGUCAGAAAAAACUUAAUAGUUACAACUUUCAACAACGGAUCUCUUGGUUCUGGCAUC
rnacentral:misc_RNA from 1 species